rnacentral:rRNA from 1 species
GAUGAACGCUGGCGGCGUGCUUAACACAUGCAAGUCGAACGGGAAACAUUUUAUUGAAGCUUCGGCAGAUUUAGCUUGUUUCUAGUGGCGGACGGGUGAGUAACGCGUGGGUAACCUGCCUUAUACUGGGGGAUAACAGCCAGAAAUGACUGCUAAUACCGCAUAAGCGCACAGAACCGCAUGGUUCGGUGUGAAAAACUCCGGUGGUAUAAGAUGGACCCGCGUUGGAUUAGCUAGUUGGCAGGGCAGCGGCCUACCAAGGCGACGAUCCAUAGCCGGCCUGAGAGGGUGAACGGCCACAUUGGGACUGAGACACGGCCCAGACUCCUACGGGAGGCAGCAGUGGGGAAUAUUGCACAAUGGGGGAAACCCUGAUGCAGCGACGCCGCGUGAAGGAAGAAGUAUCUCGGUAUGUAAACUUCUAUCAGCAGGGAAGAUAAUGACGGUAC